AUCCCAUGGUGAGGCCAUCUACGAAGUAAUUCCUUGAAUCUUUCUCAUGCCUCGUAUAAGGACUUGUCAUCCAAUUCUUGAAAGGUGGUGAUCUCAUUUCGUAACUU
rfam:Gossypium hirsutum cultivar TM-1 chromosome 3, whole genome shotgun sequence